GGGCGGGUGCCGGAGUGGUCAAUCGGGACGGGCUGUAAACCCGUUGGCUUACGCCUUCACAGGUUCGAAUCCUGUUCCGCCCA
rnacentral:tRNA from 1 species